rnacentral:rRNA from 1 species
GAGGGGGAUAACUACUGGAAACGGUAGCUAAUACCGCAUAACGUCGCAAGACCAAAGUGGGGGACCUUCGGGCCUCAUGCCAUCAGAUGUGCCCAGAUGGGAUUAGCUGGUAGGUGGGGUAACGGCUCACCUAGGCGACGAUCCCUAGCUGGUCUGAGAGGAUGACCAGCCACACUGGAACUGAGACACGGUCCAGACUCCUACGGGAGGCAGCAGUGGGGAAUAUUGCACAAUGGGCGCAAGCCUGAUGCAGUCAUGCCGCGUGUGUGAAGAAGGCCUUCGGGUUGUAAAGCACUUUCAGCGGGGAGGAAGGCGGUGAGGUUAAUAACCUCAUCGAUUGACGUUACCCGCAGAAGAAGCACCGGCUAACUCCGUGCCAGCAGCCGCGGUAAUACGGAGGGUGCAAGCGUUAAUCGGAAUUACUGGGCGUAAAGCGCACGCAGGCGGUCUGUCAAGUCGGAUGUGAAAUCCCCGGGCUCAACCUGGGAACUGCAUUCGAAACUGGCAGGCUAGAGUCUUGUAGAGGGGGGUAGAAUUCCAGGUGUAGCGGUGAAAUGCGUAGAGAUCUGGAGGAAUACCGGUGGCGAAGGCGGCCCCCUGGACAAAGACUGACGCUCAGGUGCGAAAGCGUGGGGAGCAAACAGGAUUAGAUACCCU